GGGGCUGUAGCUCAGUGGCAGAGUGCUUGCCUAGCAUGCAUGAGGCACUGGGUUCAAUCCUCAGCAUCACA
rnacentral:tRNA from 1 species